UUAAGUGCUGGGAUACAUAACAAGUAAGCAGAUCAGACACUUGUUCCUGUUCUAUGUGGGUCUCAAGGUCUAAGUGAGAGAUAGAAAUAAGAACUGUUAUUUGCCAAUCUAUGUUCACAGUAUUGA